AUGACCUGGCUGCUGGCUGCCAGCACACGGCAGCAGCAGCUGCAGGCAGCAGGUCGCGGCACCGUGACCAUGGACCCCUCAGUGACCAAAGCCACCCUGAAGGUGCUGGGGCUGUGCGUGGUCCUGCUUUUCCUGGUCGCCGCGGUGAUGGUCUCUGUGGCGGUGAUGAUGUGGCACUCGGAGGCUGUACGGAUGCUGCAGGGAUGCCAGGAGCAGGCAGCCAAUGAGACCUCAGCCCUGGGGGGCCGUGUGGCCGAGCUGGAGCGGGAUGUGGCCAAGCUUACCGGGCGGCUGCAGGAGGACGCUCAGAAGAAGAAGCAGCUUCAGAGGCAGUUGGGCCAGGCCAAGGAUGAGGGCAGGAAGCUCAAAGCCACCUUGCUGUCCUGCCGGGAGCGUGAGAGCACGCUCUCCGCCAACAUGACAGCCCUGCGGAACACGCUUGCAGCCAUUCAGCUGGAGGGCACCGAGAUGGACACCAGAAACAUCGCCUUGCAAGCGGAGCUGACCCAGUGGCAGGGGAAAGCCACGGAGCAGGAGCUGCGGCUGGAGGAGGCCCUGCAGCAGCACCAGGCAUCGGAGGCGCGGAGGGGGCAGUGCGAGGCCCGGCAGAGUGAGCUCCAGCGCAGCAUGCGGGACUACAGGGCCGAAAUCGAGUCCCUCCAGCGGCAGCUGAGCUCCCGAGCCACCAGGCGCAGGUGCCCCCCAUUCUGGUAUUUUGUGUGGGUGAUGGCAAGCACUUCUUGCUUUAUUUUCUCGCUCGAAGGGUUGAAAUCUUACAUCUGAAGCAUCUAGGGGAAGCCAGGCUUAAAGGAGAUGACAGGGCUCGUGAGCAACCAUUUCCGAUUCCCCCCUCCCCCUUACAGAGCAGGGCACGCUGCUCUCCACACCAGAGACAGCUGCAAUUACCCAAAAACAGCUGCACCACGGAACAGCCCGUCCCGCUCCAGAAGCCAGAAGCCUCUUCCUGCAACAGUAACAGCCAUAAACUAAUUGAAAAGACACCGAGUCCGCUGGAUCCUACUAGGCUGAGGCACCCCAAAGGAUGCUGGGAAAUCUGUCAUUGUACCCUGCCACAUGGACCUCUCUCUCUCUCUCUCUCUCUCUCUGUCCUGGCUCCAUUCUGUCUGCCUCUCCCUGCUCCUCCCUUCCCUCCUUCGCGACAUGCUUCUGCCUGGAGUCUACUGAACUCUGCACAGUGUGUGCCUGCAUCUAAGCUGCCUGGUGUCGUUCUUGAUCGUAUAAUCUACUCACCAGGAGGAAAUCAGAUCACCCGGUGCUAAUAUCGCCUCUGGGGCUGGACUCACUCACGAGGGAGUCUAACCAGCAUUUAACAGCCUGUGUUUGUAUGCAGAUCUGCUCACUAAUAUUUUAAUAGUGUUAGCCAAAUAGGCUUGUUUCCCCCUGGAGCUACUCAAUUACCCCAAGGAGGCACGGAAGACGGGUACCAAACUUUUAUUCUCGGUCAGCUGAUCGGGUGUUUCUCCUCGGCUAGUGCCAGAGAAGAAGACACACCUUACUGGCUUGGAACAGCCUUUAUAUACUAGGUUACAAACAUCUUUACGUGCAAAACUUCUGUUAGUCCAUACAUUUCUUGAAUUCCUUUUUCAGAUAAGUUGGAUCUGUUUAACAUCUUCCUCCUAGGUAUUUUGCCUAUGUGCAUUUAAGAAGGGUUAUAUACGUGCAAAGAUUAACUGGGAUGAUACUGGGAUGAUAAGCAGAGGAUUGCCAUAAGCAAAGAGUUAACAAAUUCCUUUUGCUCUUACAAUACUAGCUGCCUGAUGGGUCUCAUUAGUGACAUCAACACCACACCAAGAACCAGGUAUCCCUGCAGGGCCUUUGGCCUCCAAGAACGUAAGAAUGGAUUGGCCCUACUGGGUCAGACCAAAGUUCCAUCUAGCCCAGUAUCCUGUCUUCCGACAGUGGCCAGUGCCAGGUUCCCCAGAGGGAAUGAACAGAACAGGGAAUCACCCAGUGAUCCCUCCCCUGUGGCCCAUUCCCAGCUCUGGCAAACAGCCCAGCAUUUCAGAGAACCCACACCUCCAUCCUUUGGUAGUCUGGCAGGUUGUACAGGUGUUAAUGGGGUUAAGAUCUGGCCCUAUCUCCACAGGGAUUUUUCACCCACCACUGAAAUCUACCCACCCUCUGUGGAAGAACUUAGCAAUUGUUUAACAGCACCCAGCCAGGCAGCACCACCACAGCAGGAUUUGGGACAGGAAUAAAUUCUCCAGCACAAACUACA
ensembl:lncRNA